rnacentral:rRNA from 1 species
UACGGGGGGGCAAGCGGUUGUUCGGAAUUACUGGGCGUAAAGGGGCUCGUAGGUGGCCAACUAAGUCGGACGUGAAAUCCCUCGGCUUAACCCGGGGAACUGCAUCCGGAUACUGGAUGGCUUGAGUUCGGGAGAGGGAUGCGGAAUUCCAGGGUGUAGCGGUGAAAUUCGUAGGAUAUUGGGAAAGAACACCGGUGGCGA